rnacentral:rRNA from 1 species
UGGUGGUCGCCUUAUGCAUGCAAGUCGAGCGAAGCUUUUAGUAGUUUACUACAGAAAAUGACUGAGCGGCGAACGGGUGAGUAACGCGUGAGCAAUCUACCUUAGUUACAGGGAUAGCCCGAGGAAACUCGGAUUAAUACCUGAUAUUCUUUACAUUUCGCAUGAAAAUUAAAGGGAAGGGUCAGCCGAACUAAGAUGAGCUCGCGUUCUAUCAGCUAGUUGGUGAGGUAAAAGCUUACCAAGGCUACGACGGAUAGCUGGUCUGAGAGGACGAUCAGCCACACUGGGACUGAGACACGGCCCAGACUCCUACGGGAGGCUGCAGCAGGGAAUAUUGUGCAAUGAACGAAAGUUUGACACAGCGACACCGCGUGUGGGAUGACGGAUCUAGGUUUGUAAACCACUUUCAGGAGGGAAGAAAAUGUCGACGGUACCCCCCACAAGAAGCCCCGGCCAACUACGUGCCAGCAGCCCGCGGUAAUACGUUAGGGGGGCGAGCGUUGUCCGGAUUUUUUUGUGGCGGGAAAGAGCUCGUAGGCGGUUUAUCCACUUCGGUGGCGGGAAUUUUCGGGCUCACACCCCUGAAUGUCGAUCGAUACUGUUGUGACUAGGAUACGGUAGAGGUGAGUGGAAUUCCGAGUGUAGCGGUGAAUGCGUAGAUUUCCGGAGGAACACCCACUGGCGAGGGCAGCUCACUGGACCGCUAUCCGACGCUGAGGAGCGAGAGCUAGGGGAGCCACCAGGAUUUGAUACCCUGGGUAUCCCUACUGUAACGAUGGGAACUACACGUUAGACCGGGUUGGCGGUCCUGUGUCGUACCUACGCGUAAUAUCCCGCUGGGAUACCGUCCCGAC